UCAGGGCUGACUGUGGCAGGGGACACUCUCCUGCUGGCUCUCUCUGUUCACACUUAGCUGGCUCCCGGCCUCAGGUGCACAGCCACACCCUUGCACCCAACCUUGAUCCUGUGAUGGGGAAGGUCCCAGGACUUGUCAGUUGGGACAGGCCUCACCCCCAAGAGCUCUGUGCAGUACUGAGAAGGAGAUUGCAGAGGCAAAGCUAGGCUAGGUCUUGGAGGCUGGUGUAAGGCGGUGCGUGUAAGGGAGGACGCUGAUGGGAGAGACUGGUCGAAGAAAAGCCGAAAUGGAUUCUCCGUGCCUUGGAUGGAGGAAGAGGGGGAAGUGCGAGCUCCUUCAACUCGUUCUGUCCGGUGAGGAGUGAUCCCGCUUGGGCUGUCGAGAGGCUCCGGAGCCUUCACGUUCAGUGCUUUUUACCUGCCAAUCAAACUGCUACAAGACAACACCCUGAUCUGGCAUGGUAGCCGCGGGUCCAAGCCUGUAGUCCCAAAUCGGAAAAUCUCUGCAGCUGGUUACACGCAAAAGAGAAGCCAGGCAACAGACAUAUUACAGAAGAAAGCUCUCGACUCCGAGAUUGAACCUAGAAAUUAUAUUCUCCUCAAGAUCCAUUUAAGAGAAUCUGGCCGGUGGCUUUGGUCUGAGAGUUCAGACAUCUCUUGCGAAACUAAGAAAGACCUCAUUUUCUGUUUGCUGGAUCCUUCUAUUUUGUCAUCCCUGAGCCCUAUAAGAAGCUUGCCAGGAAGUCCCCUGUGCUGGAAGGACCAUGUGAGUUCAUCUCAGACAAUGGGUGGCAUGGCACCAUGGCUUUAGUGACUGACACAGUGGAGAACCAUAUUCUCUCUGGAAGAUCUUGGCAACAUGUAUUUGGUAGCGUGGAAAGGCAUGAUGGCAUGGUGGUACAUUCCUUGAAUCACAACACUCCUGAGUUGGAGGGCAGACAGAUCUCUAUGGGGUCUCAUGUAAUCCAGGUUGGCUUUGAACUCCCGAAGGAUGACCUUAGACUCCCAAUCUUCUGCAUCUGCUUCUCAAGCUUUGGGACACCAGCAUUUGUCACCACACCUGCUCUCUAUAGCACUAGAGGAACAAAGUUUCAUGUAGCCCCAGCUGACCUAGAACUUCCUGUGUAUCAACAACUCACUACUUAGGCAAGCUGGACCUGGAGCUUCCUUCUGACCCUUCUGCCUCUGCUUCUCAUGCUUCUGGCUUAGUUCUGUGCUGGAAAUCAAACCCUGGCAGAGAUUAAGGGCUCAGAGCUUCAUUCUUUAUAAAUGAGUGCCCUACCUGCUGUGCCAUGUCCCACCCUUUAGUUUUUAUGAACUGGUAGUAUCUUUUAAUAGCUUGGCAAGACUGAAGAGGUAAUUAUUUUCUUUUGUUCUUCUUGGAGUUUUGUUCCUCAUUUUAAAAAGUCUGCAGUGCCCCACAUGAUGGUAUGUGUCUUUAAUCAAACACUUGGAACAUAGUAGGAACUCAAAGUCAUCCUAGUCUACAGAGCAAUUCUAGGACAGCCUGAGGUAAAUAGUGAGACCCUAUCUCAGAUAGAUAGAUGAUGGAUAGAUAGAUAGAUAGAUAGAUAGAUAGAUAGAUAGAUAGAUAGAUAUUAAAUAGAUAAUAGAUAGAUAGCUUGCAGAAUGCUACAUGGGUCAUAGGUUUUGUUUGCUUGUGUUAAUUUAACCCUUUCUAAACAUAAAAAUCAAGUGUGCAACCCUUUAAUCCCAGCACACUAGAAGUAGAAGAAGGCAGAUCUCUGAGUUUGAGGGUAGCCUGGGCUACAAAGUGAGUUCAAGGACAGCCAAGGCUACACAGAGAAACCCUAUCUAGAAAAACAAAACAAACAAACAAACAAACAAAAACAGACAAAAUGAUGCCAAUGUUUGAUUCUUCUUAGCUUUAUCCACUCCCCUGGGGUCAGAUAGAAACAAAAUUUGUGUAGUCCAAGUUGGCUCCUUACUUUAUACAUCCCAGCUAACCUUAGAACCUAGAUCUUUCUGACUCCGCCUACCAAGUCAUGGGCUUGUUCUACCUUGCCUAUCCUUAGGCAUUUUGUUUGUUUGUCUAAGAUAAAGUCUCUAUCUCUAGCCAAGCUGACCUUGAACUCUUGUCUUUCUUUGUGCUUCUGGUUUCUCACUGGUCAGUGCGAACUUUUAAAAAAGAGGGUGAAACACCUCUUGGCUGUAUGAGGGGCAUAUCUCAGUGACAGAGCACUGGUCCAGCAGGUUAGAGAGGGGCAUAUCUCAGUGAUAGAGCACUGGUCCAGCAGGUUAGAGAGGGGCAUAUCUCAGUGAUAGAGCACUGGUCCAGCAGGUUAGAGACCCUGCUUUAUGGAGAUACACACACACACACACACACACACACACACACACACACACACACACACACACGAGGCUGUUUGGGUUCCAGAAAUGCACAAAACCUCUCGGUUUGGGCAAAUGACUAGUCCGCAGGCCCUCCCCGAUGACCACUCGGGUCCUCAGCUGUUGUCAGUCAGUGUUACAAAUCUUGCCAGUUUCCUUCUGAUACCUUUAUAAUCUUCCUAAAUCAAUUUUAUUUAUUUAUUUAUUUAUUUAUUUUUAUGUUUUGGGUUUUUUUCAAGACAGGUUUCUCUGUAUAGCCCUGG